rnacentral:rRNA from 1 species
UACGGAGGAUGCAAGCGUUAUCCGGAAUGAUUGGGCGUAAAGCGUCCGCAGGUGGCAAUGUAAGUCUGCUGUUAAAGAGUCUAGCUCAACUAGAUAAAAGCAGUGGAAACUACAUAGCUAGAGUACGUUCGGGGCAGAGGGAAUUCCUGGUGUAGCGGUGAAAUGCGUAGAGAUCAGGAAGAAUACCGGUGGCGAAGGCGCUCUGCUAGGCCGUAACUGACACUGAGGGACGAAAGCUAGGGGAGCGAAUGGG